rnacentral:rRNA from 1 species
UGUUCUCUUGGUAACGAAGCUAACGCGAUAAGUAGACCGCCUGGGGAGUACGGCCGCAAGGUUAAAACUCAAAUGAAUUGACGGGGGCCCGCACAAGCGGUGGAGCAUGUGGUUUAAUUCGAAGCAACGCGAAGAACCUUACCUACUCUUGACAUCCAGUGAACUUUCCAGAGAUGGAUUGGUGCCUUCGGGAACACUGAGACAGGUGCUGCAUGGCUGUCGUCAGCUCGUGUUGUGAAAUGUUGGGUUAAGUCCCGUAACGAGCGCAACCCUUGUCCUUAGUUACCAUCAUUCAGUUGGGGACUCUAAGGAGACUGCCGGUGACAAACCGGAGGAAGGCGGGGACGACGUCAAGUCAUCAUGGCCCUUACGAGUAGGGCUACACACGUGCUACAAUGGCCAGUACAGAGGGUUGCAAUGCCGCGAGGUGGAGCUAAUCCCACAAAGCUGGUCGUAGUCCGGAUCGGAGUCUGCAACUCGACUCCGUGAAGUCGGAAUCGCUAGUAAUCGUGAAUCAGAAUGUCACGGUGAAUACGUUCCCGGGCCUUGUACACACCGCCCGUCACACCAUGGGAGUGGGUUGCUCCAGAAGUAGAUAGUCUAACCCUCGGGAGGACGUUUACCACGGAGUGAUUCAUGACUGGGGUGAAGUCGUAACAAGGUAGCCCUAGGGGAACCUGGGGCUGGAUCACCUCCUUA